GUUGAUAUGUAUCCCUAUGGGGUUUUUCCUAUAGGGAAAUGCUCACAUUGUUGGAAAUGCCUCAUGGAGUUAACUGUGUGGUUUUGCUCCAUUCACAGAACUACUUGCUAGAUCUCUGGAAAGAAUUAUAAGAACCGU
rnacentral:snoRNA from 1 species